rnacentral:lncRNA from 1 species
AUUGACAACUCUGAUUAUACAUCGUCUUCACUAAACGGACCUUUGCUGAGUUUUGUAUUGUGUUCAUCCCCACCCCACACUCUGCUGUUGCCAUGGGAGCCGAAAUCCUGGCAUGGUUAGCUCCGCCCCCAAGUGGCUCUGUCUCCCAGAGUGCUUUGCUGUUACUAUGGAAAUGCCUGCCUAUUAAUCUUGCUGUCCUUUUACUACCAAAGCACCUUUAACUGUCUCAAGCAAUCAAGUGAUGUUACCUACAGCAGGGAAAGGAAGGAGAAGACGGCCUCCCAUUCUCCAGCUGAAGCGCUGAUUUUAAUCAAGAUUUAAUCAAGGAGCAGAAGAAUGGACUCCCCCAAACUGCUCACCGUGCAGACUUGAUCUAAGCAUGGACACUGUUCUCUCCGAUUGCCUUAAAGAUGCAGCUAAGACCAGUCAGUGGUGUUGGCCAAAGAUAUAGUGGAAGUUUGGCAUGUAUAGAAGUGGGUACUGAGAAUGAUCUACUCUUCCACUGUGGUUGUCACUCCAAGAGCUCACAAACCCUAAAGCCAACUCCAGAGUCCCUGCCUUACUCUCAGGUGGCUCCAGUGUAAUGGGCCUAAGUCACUCCCAGUGUUCCUCCGCACCAGUCUACUCUCCCUUGGAAAUGCACAACGUGUCUCAAAUGUUUUCCUACCAGUGAAGGUCUGGGUUAAAAUACAGAGCAAUGCUCAGCCAGUGAGCCUGGAUUGCCUGAGGAUGAGCAUCCCUCAUAUCUAGUGCUCAUCCAAUGAACAUCUGUUGAGCACCUGUACCUAACAGGUUCUGUGCUAGGCACCAGGGGCUACAAAAUGAAUAAAGCUCAAGAAACUGCCAUCUGAUCAAGGAGCUAGACUUUUAAAAAUAAUUACAGCCCCUUCCUGUAAGACCAUUUCUAAAAGUACAAAGUAAAGUAGUAGCGUAUCAGUCAUGGUGUUUUUGGCUACUAAUAGGAGAAAAUCUGACUAAGAAUGCCUUAAAUGAUAAGAAAUUUAUUAUCUCAUCAAAAAGAAGUUCAGGGUAGGCUAGUUCAGUGACUCAACAACUCAUCAAAAACUCAGAUUAUUUCUACCUUUCCAUUUGGUCUCGCUCAGCAUGUUAAUUAUUGUCCUUAUGGUUGACUGUAACGGUCACAAGAUUGCUGCUACAGCUCCAGGCAUCACAUCCUCACACAGCUGCACUCACACAGAAGCAGGAAAAGAACAGUUUCUCUUAACAUGUCUUUCUUUUAAUAAGAAAGGAAAAUUGUUCCAGAAGUCCCCCAGCAGACUUCCCCUUAAGUCUUAUUGGCCAGAAUUGUAUCUCAAGUCCACGCUUAAAUGAAUCACUUGGAGGGUCUGCCUGGUGGUACAUUGGUUAAGUGCACACAUUCUGCUUCGGCUGCCUGGAGUUGGCCGGUUCAGAUCCCAGGUGUGGACAUGGCACUGCUUGGCAAGACAUGCUGUGGCAGGCCUCCCACAUAGAAAGUAGAGGAAGAUAGGAACGGAUGUUAGCUCAGGGCCAGUCUUCCUCAGCAAAAAGAAGAGGAUUGGCAGCAGAUGUUAGCUCGGGGCUGAUCUUCCUCAAAAAAGAAAAAAAUGGAUCACUUGGAGAGAAAUUUGAGUCCCUGAUUAAUUCUGACCAAUGAUGCAUUGGUCACCUUUUAGAGCAUUUUAGCUCCAACCCAGACCCUCUUUCUUCUCCCAGCUCAGCCAAGAACCACGUCUGUCUUUCAUGUCAAAGAGGCAGCAGGUGCCGUCAAUCCCACCUAGGCUAAUCAUUGGCUGAGGUACCUAAGCCAGAGUUGAGGCCCCAGCUCAAAUUUGUCCACUGCAGGAGGGUGUAAAUUGUUUUCUUUUUAAGUAUAGAAGUAAUUAAUAACAACCUUUAAAGUUUUAUUUAACUUCAUACAAAACUCAGUACCUCUCAAACAGUUGACAAGUGUCAAUAGAGAGCAACAACAAAAAAGAAACAAAAAGAAAUCCACAGUGAUCUCAGAGUGGAUAUUUGGUGACGCUGUCAUUGACCCUCCUUUAGAGAAACAUGGGCUCCUAGGAAGGCAGAACAACCCAGGGCUCUCCGAGCCAGCACGUGCUGAGGAAGAGCCCAUCAGAGAAAAAGAGAAAGGAAAAUUCAUACCAAGUCCUCACACUGUUCCUCUUGAAUAGAAAACGGUACAAAGAUGAAAAGAGAGAAGGCAGCCGGCAAAGCCUCGUCACCUACGGCCCUGCUAAAUAGAAAACACAGAGACUCGCCACAGGGCAGCUCCAUAAAGCCACUCUGGAUGCCGUUUUGCUAAUUGUGUUUGCUAUGACACCAAGCGCUGCUUAGCUGGGCUCCCAGAGUGUCUCCAUAAUGGCAAUCACUUGCCAGGAGCGAGAGUGAUUUUUAUUUGAUAUCCAUACAAAGCAGAAGCAAAUGAAUUACCAUAAUGAGAAGCAACAUAAUGAUGUAGAGAUGUACAAACUGCCAUUGUGUUUAAUAACAACAAAGCCUUCCCUUUUGAAUUAAAUUUGCGGGAAGAUUCUUAGUGAAGCAUCAUUGUAGUGAAACCAAGUUGUUUAAAAAAAAAAACGAAAAAACCCACUCCAAAGUAUUUCAGGCCCAUGAUGACUGGAAAGGUUGUUAGGAGAAUUUUUUUCUUCAAUUUUGAUUCUCAGUAAAAUCGACUUUAUUGUAGCACUACACAGCUGCGAUUUGUGAAGUAAAUGGCAAAGCUAAAUGUGCCGAAACCCGACACGUUCCCUGAGCAACAAAGGGAUGGAAGGCAAAUGUUACAGUAUUAUUGACAACACUGGUAAUGCUUGUAUAAGCAUCUGCUUCAUAAAGGGGAAAAACCUACAUUAUAAACAAAAGGAGUUUCCAAGCGAGGUCUGCCAACUCAAAUUGUGGCUUUGAUCUGAAUUUUCACUUGUUAGAUCAAAUAUUUCCUCUUUUUACCUUUUCCAUCCAAAGUAAAAAAAAUUCUCUGAUCCUGGAAACCUCCCUGUAACUGACUCAUUUUUUUUCUUUCUCUAAAAUUGUUUCCUACCUGUUCUGGUAUUUACCUGUUUCCCACCAGCUGACGUUUGACAACGGAUGAAGACACCACUGAUUAGCACGGCAUCAAUUUACAUCUGUUCCCAUGAUCAUGAUGAGGGCAUUGUCCUCCUCUUAGACGGAGUCCAGUGUGUGAAGGGAAUGUGUCCUUCCCCCACCUCGACCUGCCUCAACGCUUUCAAUGCUGCUAUUUGCUAUGCUCUGGGCCAAGUGGUAAAGAGUAUCAGAAACAGAGAUGGAGCAGGAGCUUCCGGAAGCCAAAGUCAAGAAGAUUGGAGCAUCCGUGAGGAACAGAACAGCUGACUGGGUCUCUGGUGCGGUAGCCCAUGGUUAGAAAUCUCACCGCCGAAAAUAUUCUGCCUCAGUUAACACUUGUCCUCUGCGAGCAAACAUUAAAUGGAAGUCACUGUACAUUAUCCCUGAGCAAAGCAAUGAGGAAAGUCCCCUCAGAGGCGGCAGGACUGGGCUCUGAGUAAGGGUGUUCCCUUUCCAACGGGCUGCCUUUCAGGACCACCCAGAGCCUGCCUUGUCAUCCCACAGCACCCCAGAAGGUCCCCUCUCACUGCAUUGGCCACUCGUUACUGUAACCGCCAUUUUAUUCCUGGAAAGGAAGAACCAAAGUGAGGGACGCUGUGAACAACAGACAGGCCUUGGUUGCUGAUGGGGUGACUGCAGAGAAACCGUCUUCUGCUCUUUGCUUCGCUGUUUUGCCUCCUUAUCUAGCCCCUCUCACUCCAUCUCAGUGAAAUCCGUCGUGAUCUCCUAGCUCAGAUUUCACAAGUCAACAAAAAAUUAGAACUACUUUAACGACAUUGGUUCUACCGUGCCAGGCCAUGGGCUAGAAGUUACAAGAGUAUGCAGUCUCUACUUGCUUUUUAUUGCAGAACAGCACAUUCCUGGAGCCCAUGUCAUAAAGCGGAUCACUGAAAAGCAAAUUACAUUUUCCCACAGGAACAAUGUUGUAAUUAGAGGCUGUAUUCCUGACAAAGGACUUGGCUUCAUGUAAAUAGUAGACAUGAACAAAAAUAUUUCACAAAAGCAAACAUUUGAGAACUAUAAAUCCUUAUAAUUGUUUAAAAUAAUAAAAUUUUCUUCAAGUAUUAUAAACCAGGCGGGAUUAGAGCGAGUACACACUGAUUAUUCGGGGACUCCAAUGUACCAUAAAGUGUACAUUAAAAUAUAACUACUGUGUCAUAAAUUAGAACCUGAAACUAACUUUAAUAUAGUCAUUACAUACUUAAUUAACAAUGGGAAGGCAGAGAAGUACCAUGAUCACGUGCAGCAUUGGGCGUUAGGAGAGCUAAACUACAGGCUCGCCCUCUAGACUGUGAGCUCUAUGAGGCUAGAGGCUGGGCCUGCCCGGAGUAGGUCAAAAUCAUAUUUACAAUGAACAGCCCAGCCCUGGGUUGUCACUUUGAGUAAGCAAAUCACUUUCUCUAGUUUCUGUCUCUUCAUAUGUAAAACAAGGAAGCUCAACUGUAAAGUCUCUAAGGUCCCCAGCAGCUCCAACAUUCUGGGACUGCCACUUUGGUCUCUUAGAAUUCAAAAGAGUUUCUGGGUGUAGUCAGCUGUGACUUCAGUGAACCUCAGUAUGACCCUCCAGUAUUUAUACACUCCUGUAGUCGCCAACCACAUUCUGGGCUUGGCCAUGUGAAUGGCUCUGGCUAGUGGGACUUUAGCAAGCCAGAUACAACAGAGGCUUAGUAAGCACUUGCAAACUGGGGCUUGUUCCCUUGGAAUAUUCCCUCUUGGAAUCCAGGUACCAUGCUGUGAGGAGCCCAAGACCCACGGAGAGGCCACGUGGAGGGAAACCAGGGCAUUCUGGUGGACUGUCCCACUGAGCUCCCAACCAACUGCCAGCACCCACUGCUAGUCAUGAGUAAGCAUCUUGGACAUUACAGCCCAGUUGAGCCCCCAGAUGACAGCAGCCCCAGCUGAUACCACGUGGAGCAAAAGAACCUCCCAACUGAGCCCAGGCAACCCAUAAAGUUGUGAAAGAUAAUACAACAAUUGCUGUUUUGAGGCACCAAGUUUUGGGGUGGUUCAUGGUGCAGCCAUAGCUAAUUGAAACUCUAGCACAUGGCUUAAAUGGCUCUGGACAUUGGUAAAAACAAACCAUCCAAAGAAGAUUGAAUAAUGUCUAUGUUUCUCCAUAUGAAUUUUCCUCUCCUGAGAAACAUUUAAAAUAUUCCAAUUAUCUUAAAAUAGACUCAAAAUACUGUAGUAGUGUUCAAUAAAUAUUUGUAGUAGAUAAAGAUGUUUCCUCUUCCUGAAAAAUAUUCUUCCUCUUUACCUUCUCUUGAGAAGGUAGAGUUGUUCAAAUGCAUAAUCAAAUAAAGGUCACAAGGAAAUGAUAUGUGCUGCUCAGUCAUUCUACUUGACACUUUGUUGAUAGCUCUUAGAACAUUCCCUCACUACCGAUAAUCCAUAAAAACAAUUAUCAAGCAAAGCAAUGACUUUAAAAUAAGACUGUAGCAAGGUCUCUGGUAAGGCAGAACUUUACUUUUUCUUGAUAAAGAAACUGUUGACAUUCAGGCUGGCAGAAGUAGGCAAAUUUGGAUGAGACAUAGGUUUUCUUAAAGUAAAAGGAUGAGACACUCCAACCAUUCUCUGGGAAAUUCAAAAUUAUUGAAACCUCUCAGGGGUGCCCCGAUCAAGGGUCAAUGACAAAGUCAAGGAGACUACCACAAUAAAAUCAGCAUGGUGACCAGAAAGAGACUGAGUCUGGGGACCUUCCCCGUAUGAAGUCAGGUGGUCAAAGAGGUAGUGGUUCUAAACCUAUCUUGUACUCUGGGGAAUUGGCUGUGUGGGUGAAAAGAAAGCCUGUCAAGUUGGGCCACCUGCUCAACUUUGAUGUGAGGUUCCUCUGGCCAGUCAUUGAUGAGGAGUGGAGGAUGGUCUUUCCUCACACUUUGAAGAACCAGCCUGGGAGAGGGCCUGCACUGGUGCUUGGGCCAUCAGCCACUUAGCUCAGAUGCUGUCAUAAUGUCAUCCCAGGAACGAUGGGUCAGGAGGCCUUCUGACUUCCCAGGUUUUGCUGUGUCACCAGGUCUGCAAUUUGGUGAUGCCUUAACCCAAGCAGAGACAAGUUUCUGGUGGCAGUGACAACAUGCUCUCACUCUUACAGGGUAUGCCUGCCUGAACUCCAGCUCUAGCAGCAAGAUAGACCCUCAGGACACCAAGCCUCCUAAAGAUCAUCCCAGAAGGAUGGAACCAGGGAAGCCAGACAUUUAGCCUCAAGCCAUUUAAUUGGAAUCGUAAAAAGAGACACAGUUUUAUAUCACACCUCUAAGCUGGUAAAGUAGGUUGUGUCCAUUUGGGGCACUACGAACCUUCUCUCAGAUUAUUUAAGAUGGGUAUGAGAAGCACGUAAUCUUUAGGGAAUGCCAGGCACUGUUUCAGAUUCUUACACAUGUCAUUCAUUGAAGUCUCCCAUGUAAUUAUGAGGUAGGUAUUUCCGAGAGGGAACUGAGGCACAAGGAAGUAACAUAACUUUCUCCAGCUUUGACAACCAUUAAGUGGUGAGGCCAGAAUUCGGCCCCAGCCAUGCUCUGAACUUCUCAAUCACUUGCUCUCUUCCUGACACCCCAAAGCUGGCAGCCUUGCUCCCCUGAGCGUUCGAGGGCAUUUCAUGAAGGAAGCCCUCAACAGAGCUGGAGGUGAGAGAGAACAGCACGCUGUCUGCUCCGCAGCACUUCUCUCCGGGACCAGCUUUCUCUGUAUCUUCCACUGUAAUUUAGUUAAUAUACUUAAUAAUCUCACCAAAUGAGGCUAAAUCUGUUUUUGGCACCUAACCAAACCUAAGACUGUAAACCACCUGUCAACACCCUCACUGGAGCUUGUCUGGAUGCCCACAGGAGAGGAAAUCCGGGCUUAGGAGUGUGGCCCUGCUGCGCAGACAGAGCUCAGAACGCCAACUCUCCCGUUCCUCCUGGCCUGGCUCGUUCUGCCUAGAACUCUGAAAUACAGCUCCCUACCCGCUUUGGGCUCUGCGUGUAUAUUGCUAUUAUCAGUUACCAGCAGUAUUUGAUGUCGCUACAGCACCUCAUAUUUGCAAGUCCCCUCCUUCGGGUGUUUGUGCACGGCUGGUCUUCACAGCCACAGCUCUGCACUGACACCACCCGCCCAGAAUUAUUCUUAGGGGGUAAAUGAUUUGCUUACGGCAAUUGCAGAGGGAUGUGCUGGAGAAUGCAAGAUGAGAGACAGGAGACGAAGGACGCCACGGCCUAGCUGUUUAGGGGAGUCCAGUGAAAAGAGCAGAGAACUGGCAGCUUGAUUUUACUUGUUUCCAUUUAUGAUCAUAAAAGUAUUAUUAUUAAUGAGGCUGUUUUACAUUUUACAGCUCCUUUUCAGCUGGAGAGAUUCCCAAAAGGUUUUGCGAACUCUGCUUGCGGCUUCACUGUGAUCGUGUGGCCAUUGCUUGUUCUUGCCUCUCGAGGAGCCUCUUACUCACACAGAGGCAGGGACAGUAGCAAUAAUCAGUAGAUAAAGCCACAAGUUAGACACUAAAGUUUUGCCCCCAACCCUGCCUAGUGUUAAAAAGGGGCUCCUCUUUGCCCCCACGAUCCAUUCCAUUUUCCAGGCAGGAAAAGGUGGUGGCAGCUCAGCAUCCAUUGGUGAGGGCUGAGUUCCCGCCCACUUGUACCACCGGGGACAAUUAGAGCAAAAUGAGACCGCAAACAUCAAUAGGGGAAAGGCUGCAACAAACUUCAGCUAGAAAUCUGAAGAUGUGCUCCUCUUUGUAACAGUGAAAUAUAGAUUUUAAUGCCCUAAAGACACUAAAACUGUAAUGCCAACUCUAAGCGUGUGAAACACAAAAGAAACACGGGGUAAGGUCCUAAAGUAUUCGAUUUAGAGGAAAUGAGCAGAAAGUUGAAAUAGAAAAGCACAGACAUGUGUGGUGUGAAAGCAGAAAAGUCUCGAGGCUAAUAGCCGCAUUAACAACUCUGAGCCAGCGUCAAAUUCUGAAGUCCCCGGGCCCCACGCCCCAGAAGCCCAAGUAGCUUGCUGAGUGUGCUGUCUUCGGGGCCUGCUUCCCAUUUGUUAUUAAGCCCAGCUCUCUGUGGACCCAGAAUCCAUUUCUUAAGAAUCAUGAUCAUCUGCUUGAAUUAGAAGGAGAUUGUUACUUACCUUGAAAUUCUAAAUGCUGUAUUUGGUACUAGCUUUUGUCAGCUGCCAGAGGAAAAGUUCAAUUAAAACGAGUUUCUUUAUCCUUUCCUCCCUCUUAAAAAAAAACCAGGGGGUUAGAUUCUAUAGUUUACUUGUACAGUACUUUAUUCUUAAUUAUUUUAAUUAUUUAACAAAUACAUGUAUAGCACUUCCCAUGUGCCAGACACUGUUCUGAGUGCUUAACAAUAUCACUCAUUCAAUUGUCAUAACAACCCUAAGAGAUAGGCAUUAAUAUUUUACAGAAGAAGAAAUUUACAGAUGAGGAAACUGAGGCACAGAGAGGUUAAGUAACUUGCCUGAGGUCACACUGCUAACGAGCAGCAAAGCCAAGAUUCAAACUCAGGGAGUCUGGCUCAAGUCCCUAUUUUUACUACUAUGUUACGCUGCUUCCCUUACAUAAAUUAUGCUCACAAAUGUGGAGAGGCAGUUUUUAGCGGAACAUAAGGAAAAUAUUAUGAAAGCAAAAGACAAUGACAACUUACAAUUCAGGAAAAUGCGUGUGCCUGGACAUAUUUUUACAGGUUGCUUCCAUUAAAAUCUUAUUUUUAAAAUCAUUAUCUAAUUAACCUUAAAUUCUAAGACAUUUUUCUCUUCCAGGAAGGAGCCACACAUCCAUUGGUGGGGCUUCAUUUUUGUCUUCAUCUGCUUUAUAACUUCAAAGACGGGA